UACGGGGGGGGCAAGCGUUGUUCGGAAUUACUGGGCGUAAAGGGCUCGUAGGCGGCCAACUAAGUCGGAUGUGAAAUCCCCAGGCUCAACCUGGGAACUGCAUCCGAUACUGGAUGGCUUGAAUCCGGGAGAGGGAUGCAGAAUUCCAGGUGUAGCGGUGAAAUGCGUAGAGAUGUGGAGGAACACCGAUGCCGAAGGCAGCCCCCUGGGCCAACACUGACGCUCAGGCACGAAAGCGUGGGGAGCAAACAGG
rnacentral:rRNA from 1 species